GGGCCCGCACAAGCGGUGGAGCAUGUGGUUUAAUUCGAUGAUACGCGAGGAACCUUACCAGGGCUUAAAUGUAAGUUGCAUGGAUCAGAGAUGAUCCUUUCUUCGGACCACUUACAAGGUGCUGCAUGGUUGUCGUCAGCUCGUGCCGUGAGGUGUCAGGUUAAGUCCUAUAACGAGCGCAACCCCUAUCGUUAGUUGCCAGCAAGUAAAGUUGGGUACUCUAGCGAGACUGCCGGUGCAAACCGAGAGGAAGGUGGGGAUGACGUCAAAUCAUCACGGCCCUUACGUCCUGGGCUACACACGUGCUACAAUGGCCGGUACAGAGAGCAGCCACCACGCGAGUGGGAGCGAAUCUUCAAAACCGGUCUCAGUUCGGAUCGCAGUCUGCAACUCGACUGCGUGAAGCUGGAAUCGCUAGUAAUCGC
rnacentral:rRNA from 1 species